UGAUGGCUUGUUAAUAGUGUGAUAGUGUACAGGCGAGUGAUUCUGCCUCUGGUUCGGAAAGCGCUAAACUGUAACAGGUUAGGUAUAUAUGUAAGUGCUACAGCGCCUAAGUUUAGUGCCAUAAUUUAAAAACUCAAGAUAGAUUAGUAACCGGCUGAAACAGGCAUGUUGGCGUAUCUGCUGUGAUAUCAGGUGCUAGAUUAGUGAGCAAAGGAGGCUAACAUGUAGGGGAAACAGCAGCACUUCCAGGCUCAGGCGCUAUAAUUAAACAUAUGCGUAGAGAUGCUUUGUGUGCAUUUUUCAAGUUAGGUGAGUUAAGCCUGGGUCUAGGUUUCUG